rnacentral:rRNA from 1 species
UUGGAGGGCAAGUCUGGUGCCAGCAGCCGCGGUAAUUCCAGCUCCAAUAGCGUAUAUUAAAGUUGUUGCAGUUAAAAAGCUCGUAGUUGAAUUUCGGGAUCAAUGUUUCGGUCAUGCCGUUGGUAUGUACUGACAUUAUUGAUUUCUCACCUUCUAAAGAACCGUAAUGCCAUUAAUUUGGUGUCACGGGGAAUUAGGACUGUUACCUUGAAAAAAUUAGAGUGUUUAAAGCAGGCUCACGCUUGAAUACAUUAGCAUGGAAUAAUGAAAUAGGACAUCCGAUUCUAUUUUGUUGGUUUCUAGGAUCGAUGUAAUGAUUAAUAGGGAUAGUUGGGGGCAUUAGUAUUCAAUUGUCAGAGGUGAAAUUCUUGGAUUUAUUGAAGACUAACUACUGCGAAAGCAUUUGCCAAGGAUGUUUUCAUUAAUCAAGAACGAAAGUUAGGGGAUCGAAGACGAUCAGAUACCGUCGUAGUCUUAACCAUAAACUAUGCCGACUAGGGAUCGGAUGAUGUUAAUUUUUUAAUGACUCAUUCGGCGCCUUACGGGAAAC